AACCGGCGCACGGGUGAGUAAACACGUAGGUAACGUACCCCUUGGGUCUGGGAUAACCAGUCGAAAGACUGGCUAAUACCGGAUAUGACUACGGGCAGCUCCGGUUGCUGUAGUGAAAGAUGGCCUCUGUUUACAAGCUAUUACCCUUGGAUCGGCCUGCGCACCAUUAGCUAGUUGGUGAGGUAAUGGCUCACCAAGGCUGAGAUGGUUAGCUGGUCUGAGAGGAUGGCCAGCCACACUGGGACUGAGACACGGCCCAGACUCCUACGGGAGGCAGCAGUGGGGAAUAUUGCGCAAUGGGCGAAAGCCUGACGCAGCGACGCCGCGUGGGUGAUGAAGGCCUUCGGGUCGUAAAGCCCUGUCGGGAGGGAAGAAACAUCUCGGGCCUAAUAUGCCCGAGAAUUGACGGUACCUCCUAAGGAAGCACCGGCUAACUCCGUGCCAGCAGCCGCGGUAA
rnacentral:rRNA from 1 species